CCUACGGGAGGCAGCAGUAAGGAAUAUUGGUCAAUGGACGAAAGUCUGAACCAGCCAUGCCGCGUGAAGGAUUAAGGCCCUCUGGGUUGUAAACUUCUUUUAUCUGGGACGAAAAAAGGGUAUUCUUACUCACUUGACGGUACCAGAGGAAUAAGCACCGGCUAACUCCGUGCCAGCAGCCGCGGUAAUACGGAGGGUGCAAGCGUUAUCCGGAUUUACUGGGUUUAAAGGGUGCGUAGGUGGGCUUGUAAGUCAGUGGUGAAAUCUCCGGGCUUAACCCGGAAACUGCCAUUGAUACUAUAGGUCUUGAAUUAUCUGGAGGUAAGCGGAAUAUGUCAUGUAGCGGUGAAAUGCUUAGAUAUGACAUAGAACACCAAUUGCGAAGGCAGCUUACUACGGAUAUAUUGACACUGAGGCACGAAAGACGUGGGGAUCAAACAGGAUUAGAUACCCUGGUAGUCCACGCCCUAAACGAUGGAUACUCGACAUCAGCGAUACACUGUUGGUGUCUGAGCGAAAGCAUUAAGUAUCCCACCUGGGAAGUACGAUCGCAAGAUUGAAACUCAAAUGAAUUGACGG
rnacentral:rRNA from 1 species